CCUACGGGCGGCAGCAGUGGGGAAUAUUGGACAAUGGGCGAAAGCCUGAUCCAGCCAUGCCGCGUGUGUGAAGAAGGCCUUCGGGUUGUAAAGCACUUUCAGUGGGGAAGAAAGCCUUGGGGCUAAUACCCUCGAGGAAGGACAUCACCCACAGAAGAAGCACCGGCUAACUCCGUGCCAGCAGCCGCGGUAAUACGGAGGGUGCGAGCGUUAAUCGGAAUUACUGGGCGUAAAGCGCGCGUAGGCGGUCUGAUAAGCCGGUUGUGAAAGCCCCGGGCUCAACCUGGGAACGGCAUCCGGAACUGUCAGGCUAGGGUGCAGGAGAGGAAGGUAGAAUUCCCGGUGUAGCGGUGAAAUGCGUAGAGAUCGGGAGGAAUACCAGUGGCGAAGGCGGCCUUCUGGACUGACACUGACGCUGAGGUGCGAAAGCGUGGGUAGCAAACAGGAUUAGAUACCCCGUAGUC
rnacentral:rRNA from 1 species